GAAUGAGUUUUGUAUUUCUGCUCAGGACGAACGCUGGCGGCGUGCCUAAUACAUGCAAGUCGAACGAACUCUGGUAUUGAUUGGUGCUUGCAUCAUGAUUUACAUUUGAGUGAGUGGCGAACUGGUGAGUAACACGUGGGAAACCUGCCCAGAAGCGGGGGAUAACACCUGGAAACAGAUGCUAAUACCGCAUAACAACUUGGACCGCAUGGUCCGAGCUUGAAAGAUGGCUUCGGCUAUCACUUUUGGAUGGUCCCGCGGCGUAUUAGCUAGAUGGUGGGGUAACGGCUCACCAUGGCAAUGAUACGUAGCCGACCUGAGAGGGUAAUCGGCCACAUUGGGACUGAGACACGGCCCAAACUCCUACGGGAGGCAGCAGUAGGGAAUCUUCCACAAUGGACGAAAGUCUGAUGGAGCAACGCCGCGUGAGUGAAGAAGGGUUUCGGCUCGUAAAACUCUGUUGUUAAAGAAGAACAUAUCUGAGAGUAACUGUUCAGGUAUUGACGGUAUUUAACCAGAAAGCCACGGCUAACUACGUGCCAGCAGCCGCGGUAAUACGUAGGUGGCAAGCGUUGUCCGGAUUUAUUGGGCGUAAAGCGAGCGCAGGCGGUUUUUUAAGUCUGAUGUGAAAGCCUUCGGCUCAACCGAAGAAGUGCAUCGGAAACUGGGAAACUGAGUGCAGAAGAGGACAGUGGAACUCCAUGUGUAGCGGUGAAAUGCGUAGAUAUAUGGAAGAACACCAGUGGCGAAGGCGGCUGUCUGGUCUGUAACUGACGCUGAGGCUCGAAAGUAUGGGUAGCAAACAGGAUUAGAUACCCUGGUAGUCCAUACCGUAAACGAUGAAUGCUAAGUGUUGGAGGGUUUCCGCCCUUCAGUGCUGCAGCUAACGCAUUAAGCAUUCCGCCUGGGGAGUACGGCCGCAAGGCUGAAACUCAAAGGAAUUGACGGGGGCCCGCACAAGCGGUGGAGCAUGUGGUUUAAUUCGAAGCUACGCGAAGAACCUUACCAGGUCUUGACAUACUAUGCAAAUCUAAGAGAUUAGACGUUCCCUUCGGGGACAUGGAUACAGGUGGUGCAUGGUUGUCGUCAGCUCGUGUCGUGAGAUGUUGGGUUAAGUCCCGCAACGAGCGCAACCCUUAUUAUCAGUUGCCAGCAUUAAGUUGGGCACUCUGGUGAGACUGCCGGUGACAAACCGGAGGAAGGUGGGGAUGACGUCAAAUCAUCAUGCCCCUUAUGACCUGGGCUACACACGUGCUACAAUGGAUGGUACAACGAGUUGCGAACUCGCGAGAGUAAGCUAAUCUCUUAAAGCCAUUCUCAGUUCGGAUUGUAGGCUGCAACUCGCCUACAUGAAGUCGGAAUCGCUAGUAAUCGCGGAUCAGCAUGCCGCGGUGAAUACGUUCCCGGGCCUUGUACACACCGCCCGUCACACCAUGAGAGUUUGUAACACCCAAAGUCGGUGGGGUAACCUUUUAGGAACCAGCCGCCUAAGGUGGGACAGAUGAUUAGGGUGAAGUCGUAAAAGG
rnacentral:rRNA from 2 species